rnacentral:tRNA from 1 species
ACGGCCAUAAGUUAAUGGUAGACUCGUCGUCUUCCAAACGAAUUAUGUCGGUUCAAAUCCGACUGGCCGUA